AAAGCUUCUCUCUCUCUCUCUCUCUCUCUCUGUAGCCUCAGAAAAGUAGCGUCCCCCCGUCGGCCACCGCCGCACUGCCGCCCGCGUCGCCGCAUUCGAGCCUUCUCGUCUCCUCCAGCAAUCCGUCCAAACCCUAGGAUGCUAAGCCUGAAAUAUCCACCACCAUCAAUUAUAAGAAGAAGAUUGGAAGUGAUCAAUGUUCCCCAAAAGUUCAGUACUCUAGUGGUAUGUGGUGCAAGGGGUCCAAGACCGAGAUACCCUCGCGUAUGGAAAUCUCGGAAGAGAAUUGGCACCAUCUCCAAAUCACAGAAGCUUGUCGAUUGUGUCAAAGGAUUAUCAAAUGUCAAGGAGGAAGUAUACGGAGCUCUUGAUUCAUUUGUAGCUUGGGAGUUGGAGUUCCCAUUGAUUGUAGUUAAGAAGGCACUGAAGACCCUUGAGAUUCAAAAGGAAUGGAAGAGAAUGAUUCAGGUGAUAAAAUGGAUGUUAAGCAAAGGUCAAGGAAAGACCAUGGGAACCUACUAUACGCUGUUAAAUGCUUUAGCUGAGGAUGGUAGACUUGAAGAGGCAGAGGAAUUGUGGAUGAAGUUAUUUUCAGAAAAUUUGGAAAGUUUGCCUCGCGUUUUCUUUAUUAAAAUGAUCUCAAUAUAUUAUGGGGAGGGCAUGAACGAAAAGAUGUUUGAGGUUUUUGCUGACAUGGAAGAGCUUGGAAUCAGGCCAGAUCAAACCAUUGUGAAUAUGGUUGGUAAUGUCUUCCAGAAAUUGGGCAUGAUGGAUAAAUACAAACAGCUUAAUAGGAAAUAUCCACCAGCAACUUGGGAAUACCGAUAUAUUAAAGGGAAGCGUGUAAGGAUAAGAGUGAAGCAAUUAAAUGCUUCAAAUGAUGAAGCUGACAAGCCGAAUAUUACAUUCACUGAGCAAGCUGAAACCAUUUCAAAAGACGUCAUCCAUGAACAGAUCGAGUGAAGCAAAUAGAGCUUUUGCACAUUUCUUUCGUCCAUGAACAGGCUGUAUAGAAUUUGUCAAUCGGGAAGUUCUGUUGGUGUGGGAGAUAAAAGAUAAUCUCGUGUACAGCUUGGUGCUUCUACGUGAAAAUGGUCCGUAUAUAUGCGAAAACUACGUGCCAUAUUUAUCUGACCAAGGGAUUUGGGGAUUGAUUGCUCCGCUGAAAGAAAUGGACAAUGGAAGAAUUAAAAGGGAGUUCUGGCUUGCGCUGUCUGAUACAUGAAGAUGGGGAGUCAUAUUAUCCUCAAUAUGACUGCUGCAUAUUGUAAUAACUGCCUGUAUACUGGAGAUUUGCAAGUCAUCUUCCCUGUAUCAAUAUUGUUCUAUACUUCAGGAGGGUCUGUGAGAAAAGUUUAAUGUCGACGUUGGGGGGGUUUUGUGAGACACCACAAAGUUUAGGGGCUAUGUGAGAAGAUGCCCCUGCGCUCUUUGCUCUUUGCUCGAUGCUCUUUUGCUUUUGUUAAACCUUUAAGAAGAGGAGGAAGAAAAAGAAGCUUUGUUGAAAAGCGGCAACAACUGCUGUUUGUCUAUUCCUGUGCGUGGUGGAGUGGUGACAUGGGCUCUUGCUCCACGUGCCAUCCAACGCGGCUAUUCCUCGCGUCGGCAGCCCCGCGCUCGUGCUUUUCAUCCCUCUGCUUCGAAGGACCCAAAAUUUGGUUG